rnacentral:tRNA from 1 species
GGGGGCGUAGCUCAGUUGGUCAGAGCGCCGGACUCAUAAUCUGGUGGCCGCUGGUUCGAGUCCAGCCGCCCCCA